AGUGAACGCUGGCGGUAGGCCUAACACAUGCAAGUCGAACGGCAGCACCGUAAGAGCUUGCUCUUACGGGUGUCGCGUGUCGGACGGGUGAGGAAUACUUCGGAAUCUACUCUUUCGUGGGGGCUAACGCCGGGAAACUUACGCUAAUACCGCAUACGACCUACGGGUGAAAGCAGGGGAUCUUUGGACCUUGCGCGAUUGUAUGAGCCGAUGUCGGAUUCGCUAGUUGGCGGGGUAAAGGCCCACCAAGGCGACGAUCCGUAGCUGGUCUGAAAGGAUGAUCAGCCACACUGGAACUGAGACACAGUCCCGACUCCUGCGGGGGGCAGCAGUGGGGAAUAUUGGACAAGGGAGGAAAGCCGGAUCCAGCCAUACCGCGUGAGUGAAGAAGGCCUUCGGGUGGUAAAGCCCUUUUGUUGGGAGAGAAGAACAGCAGGUUAAUACCCCGCGGUUCUGACGGUACCCAGAGAAUAAGCACCGGCUAACUUCGUG
rnacentral:rRNA from 1 species